GAUGAACGCUGGCGGUGUGCCUAAUACAUGCAAGUCGAGCGAACGGACGAGAAGCUUGCUUCUCUGAUGUUAGCGGCGGACGGGUGAGUAACACGUGGAUAACCUACCUAUAAGACUGGGAUAACUUCGGGAAACCGGAGCUAAUACCGGAUAAUAUUUUGAACCGCAUGGUUCAAAAGUGAAAGACGGUCUUGCUGUCACUUAUAGAUGGAUCCGCGCUGCAUUAGCUAGUUGGUAAGGUAACGGCUUACCAAGGCAACGAUGCAUAGCCGACCUGAGAGGGUGAUCGGCCACACUGGAACUGAGACACGGUCCAGACUCCUACGGGAGGCAGCAGUAGGGAAUCUUCCGCAAUGGGCGAAAGCCUGACGGAGCAACGCCGCGUGAGUGAUGAAGGUCUUCGGAUCGUAAAACUCUGUUAUUAGGGAAGAACAUAUGUGUAAGUAACUGUGCACAUCUUGACGGUACCCAAUCAGAAAGCCACGGCUAACUACGUG
rnacentral:rRNA from 1 species